rnacentral:siRNA from 1 species
GGAAAAUGCCACAACACUGCUGAU